AGAGAAUUGGCCGAGUGGUUUAAGGCGGUAAUUUUGAGCAUUACAAGGUUAUAAUUAACCUCAUCCGUUCGAAUCGGAUAUUCUCUG
rfam:Hirsutella minnesotensis 3608 unplaced genomic scaffold MNSD_Scf_204, whole genome shotgun sequence.